GCCUGCGUGGCCUAAUGGAUAAGGCGUCUGACUUCUAAUCAGAAGACUGCCGGUU
rnacentral:tRNA from 1 species